rnacentral:misc_RNA from 1 species
UCAACCUAAAACGUGUGGUGAUUAUGAUAUGGCCAUACUAUCUCUACUUUGAGAAAGUUUCCCGUGAGCCUCUACAUGGGGAAGUACACGAUUAAACAAAAUAAUAAUUUUGGCUCCAAAAAGAAAUAUCAGGUCCUACAAUAUAGCCGCAUGUUGUUGCUUCAAGAUUACCCUAAUCUACAAUUUCUUAGCUGAUGACGAUGAUAUUCUGUGGACAACAAGCAAGGUGAGAUAUUCACCGAAUCGUUGCUGGGCUUGUGAACGCCCCACUCCUGAGGAAAAAAAUGAAUUUCCAAUUUGGUUUGAAGCUAGUGUUUCUUAAAAAAGUUGCAGAGACAUCUUCAGCUUGUUCUGUCGCCAUUUUGCAAGCCCGUAGAAGGCCUUUCGCAUCAUUCCAAACUUCUCUUGAAACUCUUCAUCACUUAAGUAUGCCUCUCUUCUGGUCACAUCUAUAUCUGUGACAGGAUCGCUUGAACCCACUAUCAAUCGUGCGUAUGGAUAUAUUAAUGAGUUUUCAGUAAAGUUACUUCUAUCAACCUGCACCAAAUUUGCGUCCUGAGGAGACCUUGCCUCUGCUUCUGGAGAACCAGCACUACCAUCAGGAGAUCCCGGAAAGAGCUUCCUCGCAAUCAGAGUUGGGCUUGAAAAAAGGUGGCUGUUUGCAGACUUUGACUUUGAGCCUGAAACACUGGAUGCACUAGAUAGAAUACUUCCCCUCCCAUUUGAACUGACAGAAUUGCUUCUCAAAUUAUCUGGAGUAGUCUCCCUAGAGAAUGCUUUCCAUGAAUUUAUUAUAGGAACUUCCAGAUUUUGCUUUUUCCCUUUCAGAAUGGCAAGCUUUCGUUCAAAUGAGUUGCCAAGCAUAUUUGCCUUUGAAGAAUCCCAUUCAAAGAAACAAGUGAAAAAUAGAGGUUCCUUCCCUUCUGUAACAACAUAAAUAGGAGUCUCCAAAGAGAGACCUUCAAUAUGAUGGACAUUCUCAAGGAAAUUCAGGCCAAGAGUAAGGGCUUGUUGCUUUGAUUUAACAUUUGCAUGACAUCCGAUCCAAACAUAGAUUUCUUUGUGACAAUUGAGUAUCAAGACAUCUUCUGUAGUUAAAUCAUCCUGAGUAAAGUUGUAUAUCUCCUUCACC